CCACUCGGCUACUUAGUACGGCGAGUGAAGCGGUAAAAGCUCAAAUUUGAAAUCUGGUACUUUCAGUGCCCGAGUUGUAAUUUGUAGAAUUUGUCUUUGAUUAGGUCCUUGUCUAUGUUCCUUGGAACAGGACGUCAUAGAGGGUGAGAAUCCCGUUUGGCGAGGAUACCUUUUCUCUGUAAGACUUUUUCGAAGAGUCGAGUUGUUUGGGAAUGCAGCUCAAAGUGGGUGGUAAAUUCCAUCUAAAGCUAAAUAUUGGCGAGAGACCGAUAGCGAACAAGUACAGUGAUGGAAAGAUGAAAAGAACUUUGAAAAGAGAGUGAAAAAGUACGUGAAAUUGUUGAAAGGGAAGGGCAUUUGAUCAGACAUGGUGUUUUUUGCAUGCACUCGCCUCUCGUGGGCUUGGGCCUCUCAAAAAUUUCACUGGGCCAACAUCAAUUCUGGCAGCAGGAUAAAUCAUUAAGAAUGUAGCUACUUCGGUAGUGUUAUAGCUUUUUGGAAUACUGUUAGCCGGGAUUGAGGACUGCGCUUCGGCAAGGAUGUUGGCAUAAUGGUUAAAUGCCGCCCGUCUUGAACCCACGGAACCA
rnacentral:rRNA from 1 species